GACCUGAUAGCACAGUUGGUUAGUGUGUCUGUUGAAGUUACUAUCUGCUGAAGCUUUGUUGAUAGAUGACCCCGGUUCGAACCCGGGUCAGGUCA